rnacentral:rRNA from 1 species
UACGUAGGGUGCGAGCGUUGUCCGGAAUUAUUGGGCGUAAAGAGCUCGUAGGCGGUCUGUCGCGUCGAUCGUGAAAACUUGGGGCUUAACCCUGAGCUUGCGGUCGAUACGGGCAUGACUGGAGUUCGGCAGGGGAGACUGGAAUUCCUGGUGUAGCGGUGAAAUGCGCAGAUAUCAGGAGGAACACCAGUGGCGAAGGCGGCUACCUGGACCGGUUCUGACGCUGAGGCGCGAAAGCGUGGGUAGCAAACAGG